CCCCUCCCCACGGAGGAUUUGAACAUACAUAUUUUUUGUGCUCUUCAUUCUGAGUUUGAAUCUGUGGUGUCUGCUGCGAUGGAUCGCAGGGAACCAAUCUCCUACACUGAACUUCAUGGGCUGCUUCUCAGCAGUGAGU